rnacentral:rRNA from 1 species
CCAAUAGCGUAUAUUAAAGUUGUUGCGGUUAAAAAGCUCGUAGUUGGAUUUCUGUCAAGGACAACUGGUCCGCCCUCCGGGUGAGUACAGAGUUUGGUCUUGGCAUCUUGUUGGGGAUUGCUACUGCGCUUGGUUGUGUGGUACAUUUUCCAGCACAUUCACUUUGAGGAAAUUGGAGUGUUUCAAGCAGGCACAUGCCUUUGGACACAGUAGCAUGGAAUAAUUGGAUUGGGCUUCUGCUCCAACUUGCUGGUUCCUGGAGCUGAAGUGAGAAUCAAUGGGGAUUGUUGGGGGCAUCUGAAUUUAGCCGUCAGAGGUGAAAUUCUUGGAUCUGCUAAAGACGGACAAGUGCGAAAGCGUUCGCCCAGGAUGUUUUCAUUGA